AUAAACACUGCCACCUCCUCCCUCCUUCUCUCUUUACAAAUGUUACAACACAAUCAGAAAUUUCCUCUUUUCUUUCCUUCCUGCAUUUUCAGCAGGUUCCCUUGCGUCAGAAGCCCAGGAGGAAAACUCAAGGUUUUCUCACGAUGAGUCGGAGGAGGAUAUCGUGUAAAGAUCUGGGCCAUGCUGACUGCCAAGGGUGGCUGUAUAAGAAAAAGGAAAAGGGAAGUUUCCUAAGCAACAAAUGGAAAAAGUUCUGGGUGAUACUGAAGGGGUCGUCACUGUACUGGUAUAGCAAUCAAAUGGCAGAGAAAGCUGAUGGAUUUGUCAACCUGCCUGAUUUCACUGUGGAAAGAGCAUCUGAAUGCAAGAAAAAGCAGUAAGUUGUCUCUCAUCUUCCACAAAACUCUGAGCCAGGAUACUAUCUCUUCAUAAUGUUCACCAAGGGAUAUGGUGAUUUAGAAGUGAGUGAAGGUAACAUCGGAAUGUCUGAGAAUUUGAAGCAUUAUGGGUUGGCACCCUACAUAGAAAUAGAAGCAUUUAACCUCUCAUUUUCUGGAAUUUCGUUUUGUGGAGCAGAUGGAUUUU
rnacentral:lncRNA from 1 species